GACGAACGCUGGCGGCGUGCCUAACACAUGCAAGUCGAGCGAAUGAAAUUCCUUCGGGAAUGGAUUUAGCGGCGGACGGGUGAGUAACACGUGGGCAACUUGCCUCAUAGAGGGGAAUAGCCUUCCGAAAGGGAGAUUAAUACCGCAUAAGAUUGUAGUAUCGCAUGAUACAGCAAUUAAAGGAGCAAUCCGCUAUGAGAUGGGCCCGCGGCGCAUUAGCUAGUUGGUGAGGUAACGGCUCACCAAGGCGACGAUGCGUAGCCGACCUGAGAGGGGGAUCGGCCACAUUGGGACUGAGACACGGCCCAGACUCCUACGGGAGGCAGCAGUGGGGAAUAUUGCACAAUGGGGGAAACCCUGAUGCAGCAACGCCGCGUGAGUGAUGACGGCCUUCGGGUUGUAAAGCUCUGUCUUCAGGGACGAUAAUGACGGUACCUGAGGAGGAAGCCACGGCUAACUACGUGCCAGCCGCCGCAGUAACAC
rnacentral:rRNA from 1 species